rnacentral:rRNA from 1 species
GGACUACCCGGGUAUCUAAUCCUGUUUGCUCCCCACGCUUUCGCACCUCAGCGUCAGUAUCGGGCCAGUGAGCCGCCUUCGCCACUGGUGUUCUUGCGAAUAUCUACGAAUUUCACCUCUACACUCGCAGUUCCACUCACCUCUCCCGAACUCGAGAUCCUCAGUAUCAAAGGCAGUUCUGGAGUUGAGCUCCAGGAUUUCACCCCUGACUUAAGAACCCGCCUACGUGCGCUUUACGCCCAGUGAUUCCGAGCAACGCUAGCCCCCUUCGUAUUACCGCGGCUGCUGGCAC